rnacentral:rRNA from 1 species
CCUACGGGAGGCAGCAGUGGGGAAUAUUGGGCAAUGGGCGCAAGCCUGACCCAGCAACGCCGCGUGAAGGAAGAAGGCUUUCGGGUUGUAAACUUCUUUUCUCAGGGACGAAGCAAGUGACGGCACCUGAGGAAUAAGCCACGGCUAACUACGUGCCAGCAGCCGCGGUAAUACGUAGGUGGCAAGCGUUAUCCGGAUUCACUGGGUGUAAAGGGAGCGUAGACGGCCAAGCAAGCCAGGGGUGAAAGCCCGGGGCCCAACCCCGGGACUGCCCUUGGAACUGCAUGGCUGGAGUGCGGGAGGGGCAGGCGGAAUUCCUGGUGUAGCGGUGAAAUGCGUAGAUAUCAGGAGGAAUACUCAUUGCGAAGGCGACCUGCUAGAACAUAACUGACGCUGAUGCGCGAAAGCGUGGGGAGCAAACAGGAUUAGAUACCCGGGUAGUC